rnacentral:rRNA from 1 species
CUAGUUGGUGGAGUAAUAGCCUACCAAGGCAAUGAUCUAUAGCUGAUCUGAGAGGAUGAUCAGCCACACUGGAACUGAGAUACGGUCCAGACUCCUACGGGAGGCAGCAGUGGGGAAUAUUGGACAAUGGGCGAAAGCCUGAUCCAGCCAUGCCGCAUGAGUGAAGAAGGCCUUUGGGUUGUAAAGCUCUUUUAGUGAGGAAGAUAAUGACGGUACUCACAGAAGAAGUCCUGGCUAACUCCGUGCCAGCAGCCGCGGUAAUACGGAGAGGGCUAGCGUUAUUCGGAAUUAUUGGGCGUAAAGGGCGCGUAGGCUGAUUAAUAAGUUAAAAGUGAAAUCCCGAGGCUUAACCUUGGAAUUGCUUUUAAAACUAUUAAUCUAGAGAUUGAAAGAGGAUAGAGGAAUUCCUGAUGUAGAGGUAAAAUUCGUAAAUAUUAGGAGGAACACCAGUGGCGAAGGCGUCUAUCUGGUUCAAAUCUGACGCUGAAGCGCGAAGGCGUGGGGAGCAAACAGGAUUAGAUACCCUGGUAGUCCACGCUGUAAACGAUGAAUGUUAAAUAUGGGAAGUUUCCUUUCUGA